CGGAGGGUGCGAGCGUUGUCCGGAUUUAUUGGGUUUAAAGGGUGCGUAGGCGGCUCUGUAAGUCUGGGGUGAAAGCCCGUUGCUCAACAACGGAACUGCCCUGGAAACUGCCGAGCUUGAGUACAGACGAGGGUGGCGGAAUGGAUACUGUAGCGGUGAAAUGCAUAGAUAGUAUCCAGAACCCCGAUUGCGAAGGCAGCUGCCUAGACUGUAACUGACGCUGAGGCACGAAAGCGUGGGAGCGAACAGGAUU
rnacentral:rRNA from 1 species